CUUCCUUCCUCCUCGCAUCCCUCCAUCCCUUUCCAGGCGUGCUGAUACAUGUGCGACAAGACUCACAGAUGUGCAGAGAUGCGGUUCCAAUAGAAAAGUGGUGUGAUCAAGAAAUCAGGAAUGCGACUGAUCUAAAAAAAGGCAAAGGGAAGGGAAGACAAAAGGAAGAGCUCCUGGCUGACUGGCAGAUUCCAGUUAACACCUUCUCCGCACAGCGUCAGCUCUGAGCUGGCUAAAGCAACCCAGGAGCGCAAGGGAAGACAAGCCAAGAGGGAGGGCAUUUUGUAACCACGGACGACAGCACCAACACUCCACAAGCCCUGGAGAAAGAAAGGAGAGAAGGAGAGAAGGGAAGGAAACACAGCUGGAUGCAGCAAAACCCUGGCUAGAGCACUUUCCAUUUGCAAAGAGGGGAAAGGCCCAAGUGCUGAGCCAAAAUUGGCAAGAAGGACUCGGUUGUUCCAUCUUGGACAGCUCUCUCUUUCUCCCUUUUCUCUCUCAGACGAAAUUCCUGCCUCGGAUCCUUGCGAUGAAAUAACCCAAAGCUGGCUUCCUCCUCCAGCCGGUAUGGAGCAACCUUUUCCUGCCGUCUGCUGAUGCUCAUUUGAGGAGCUGAGCUGGUGACUAAAAGGAGGAGGAAAUCCUCCAGGAGGACAACUAGAUCCAAGCGCAAGAUUGCAGCUGAACAUUCAAAGCAGAUUCCCCCCCUCUCUCCCUUUUCUUUCUCUCUCUUUUCCUCCUUUCCCUUCCACCCUCUUCUUCCCCCUCGGCCUGCUUCUCUCCCCCUUUUGUCAUCUUUCAUUUUUAAUUUUCUUUGCUUCCGCUGAUGCUGCAAGGACAUUAGAAGGGUCCACUUUGGUCCCACAACCAAGACAGUUCCCCCUCCGCUUGGUCAUCAUCGCAGCCUCAUACAUGACUGUCUAUUGAGUGAAGGCAGGCCAUUAAGGAAGCAAGCAAAACAAAACAGAAAACCACCCAAAAUUUAUGCCCUGCUAAGAUUGGAGGACAAAUUCACUGG